GUUAUCUAAAAUUAGUAAAAUAUUUUUAUUCACGAAACCAGACGAGCUAAAUCUUUUCCUCUUUAGCGGAUAAUUUUAGUGUAGCAGUACUAAUAAAAUAUUAGAAUUUAGGGGUGAUAGGCCUUUCAAGUCUGGUGAUAUCUUGAUUAUAAGGAAAUAUAUUUAGUAUAAGUUCAAUCUAAAAAUGUUAAGGUUUUUAGGGAGCAUAUUUAUAAAUUAGUAAUAUAACUGACUAUGUAAAAAUUACAGUUUAGUUUAAUUUAACAUAAAAUAUAAUAAAUAUAUGUAAAUUACUUAUAUUUUUUACUUAAUCUUAAUAGAAUUACAAAUGAUUACAUUAGUAUAUUAUUAAUUUAUCUUAAGGAACUCGGCAAACUUUUUUCUCGACUGUUUACCAAAAACAUGCCUUAAGAAAGAAUUUAAGGUUUUCUCUGCUCAAUGAUAAUAUUAAAUAGCCGCAGUACCCUGACUGUGCAAAGGUAGCAUAAUCAGUUGGCUUAUAAUUGAAGUCUAGUAUGAAAGGGAAUUCGGGGAAAAGCUGUCUUAAGUGAAAUUACUAGAAUUUUCUUACUAAGUGAAAAUUCUUAGAAUUAGUAAAAAGACGAGAAGACCCUAGAAAUUUGUGACAAUAAGUAUUAACUUAAGUAUUUUGUUGGGGCGACAAGGUAGCAUAUAAACCUGCCAAAGAGUAUAAGAAACUAAUUAGUUGAGUAAAUAAAUUACUCUAGGGAUAACAGCAUUAUUUAAUAUAAGAUUGUGACCUCGAUGUUGGACUAGGAAAUAUUCUACUUAAAAGGUAGAAUAGAAGGCUCUGUUCGAGCUUAAUUACCUACAUGAUCUGAGUUCAGACCGG
rnacentral:rRNA from 1 species